rnacentral:lncRNA from 1 species
UAAAAAUCCCACACAUUAUUAUAUAUGUAAAAUGUAAAUAGAAGCUACAUCAUUAUUUCAUGAAAUAACAUCAUAGAGAAUGUGAUAGCAGAGUUCAUUCUCAGCAAUAUAUGUGAAACUAAUUAGGAAUCAAACUGUCUUCAAUAGUUAGAUGGAGGUGGAGGUAUGAAAGGAAUGGAAGGCAAGCUGCUGCUGGGAAGUGGUGGAAGAAUAGUGAUAAGCUUAGGCUAAGAUGGUGGGAUUGUUGGUAGCUUUGGGAUUCAAGGCAAUAUAGGAGGAAGUGGUGGAAUUGGUACGCUGGGAAGUGGUGGAAGAAUGGGGGUAGGGUUAGGAAGUGGUGGAAUUGGUACUGGUACUCUAGGAAGUGGUGGAAGACUGGGGGUAAGGUUAGGAAGUGGUGGAAUUGGUAAUCUGGGAAGUGGUGGAAUUGGGAAUCCAGGAAGUGGUGGAAGAAUGGGGGGAAGUGGUGGAAUUGGUGGAAUUGGUGGAAUUGGUGGAAUAGUUACUUGCUGAAGAUUUCGAGCUGCUAGGCUAACCUCCAUGCUUGAAAAACCCAACAAAAUGAAACAAGCUAAUAAAAUGAAAACGUUGGAACCUGCCAUUUUUUUUGGAGAGAUGAACUAAAGAUUGAAGAUUUGAGUUGAGGUUUGCAUUGAGGAAAGCAGGAUUGCUUUUCAGGUAUUUAUAGCCACAUUUGAAAGACUUAAUUAAUUAUUUGUUUGAGAUAUUAUUCCCCUACUUAGCAUACUACCUUUUCUCACCCAUCUGUCAUCACCAACAAAAAGAAGAAGAAGAUAAAUUAGACUCAUCCUUAAACUUAAAAAUAUUCUGAAUGAGUCGAUUUGUCUAAUGUUAGUUAAAAAUUAAAUGCUUUUAAAUUUUGUGUGAACUAUAUCUUUCUAUUUCCAUUUACCUAAUGCCAGUUAAAAAAUAAAUAUUUUUUUAUAUAAUGAGUGUAUAUUUGACUUACGUAUGUGGCGCUCUAUUAAAAAAAAAAUUAAAUUAGGUGGAUCAAAUUUAAAUAUUAGAUAACUAUACAUGUUGGUACUUAAACUUGGUAUUUAAGAUUUUUUGUUGUCCAAUUAAAGGUUGAAUUUAAAUUAGAUAGUUGAACUUGAUUUCUUAGUUCAAAUUCCAAGCUUAGAUACCAAAAUGUUUGGUAUAAUAUUAAAUUAAAAAAAUUCAAGAUGUAAAAUACUAAUUUAACAUUUAAACUAGUUGCCCCAUACAGCUACAAUGGUAAUGAUAGAAGAAAAGUAAUUGAAUGGGAUUAGGAGAUGAAGAUCCUAGUAAAGCCACCUCUAGAGGUAUGAGAGUUGCGACCACUCUAUAAUUGAAUGCUACAAAAAUGGUUAUAUCUAGGAAUCUUUCGCCAUUAGCUAAUAAUGGAAAUAGCUAUGUAUCACUUAAAAAACAACAAUUCAUAUUUUCUUGAAAUAUAUUCAAAAAAUUGAAAAAUAUAAAAAAUAUCAUUUUUCUAAAAAUCCAAAAAUUUUAUGUGAAUAUCAACAAAUUCAGAAACUAAAAGAUAUGGAAAGCUUUAAAGUUUUUCCAAAAAGAUAGAAAUUUGCAGAAAAUUAGGUAUUUAAGAUUCCAAUAUUUUUAUUUCCCUUCUUUCCUGAUUGGAGAAAAUAUGAAUUAGGUGACGCCAUCGUUAACAAUUGGGGCAAGGUAAGACACGGUUGGAAACUUCAAGUAGGUGUAAUUUUGGGGAAAUAUUACAUUGUUUAAUAAUGAAUAUUGACAUGAUUUACCCUGAGUUAAAUCAAUUAUAUUUUACUUAUAUUUUCUAUACAAAUUUUAUACAAGCCUAAAUUAAUCAUAUUCAAUCAUAUCAAUCUCAAUAUUUUGAAUAAGAUAAUAAUAUUUUCUUAAAACUAUAACUAUAUAAAGUAUUGUAAAAAUAAUUAUUCAAUUAUACAGCUAUUUUAUUUGUAUAAUUAUAAUUAACAUAACCUUCUCCAUCAUAUAAUUAAAAUUUGUUCAACUUAUAAUUACAACAACUUUCCGUGAAGAAAAGAGAGAGACACAAAUACAAACUAAUGAGAUUAAAUAAAUCUCAAAUAUAAAAUAUUCUUCAAUAAACAUCAUUAAUCAAUCUCAAAAGAAACAAGAAAAGAAAUUCAUAAAUUAAACAAUAAGAAUAUAAUAUAACAAUCCAUUAUUUAAUAAAUUCAAAAAAAAAAAUCACAUUUAUAUUUUAAAUUUUAUUGGUCUAAUUUUAGAUAGGUUUAUAAACUUCAAAUGAUUUAAAAUAUUAGUGUCACGCCCCUAAAUAUAGGAAGGUUCAUUGAAAUGAAUAAAUAAGAAAUGUGUUGACACCAUUUUUUUGAUGAAAACGGGGUUGACUUGGAUUUUGAAAAUGAAAAUUAAAAUGACAGUCGCCACCAAUCCUUUUUGAUAAGGUGUGAUCGGAUCACCUUGAAAAGUGGUUGUUUUUAAUAAACGAUUUAAUUUUAUUAAAACAACGAGUUUGGUCCACGAAAUUCAGAAAAAUGGGUUCGGGAGUCGGUUACGUACGAGGAAGGAUUAGCGCCCUCGUGACGCCCAAAAAUUGGUACCUAGUUGAUUAGUUAAUGUCUUAAUGUCAAAAAUUGUAAACUUUGAAGAAUUUUAAAAAUACGAUCCUUAAUUUUUUUAAAAAGAAAACUUAUAUAAAUCAAGUUACUCGUUAAGACCCUCCCAUUUCAGAAAGAGAAAACGUCACGCCCAAUGCGUUAGGGCACGAUAUUUUACCUCUUCAGAAAUGAGCUUGUCUAAAAACUUACACAAUAAAAUUUUAAAGGGCAUUCAAUUGUUUAAGUCAUGUGAAAAAUUGCAACCCAAUACAUUAGGGCACAAUUUCUCAAAAUAUUAAACAUUGAAUAUUGCAUUUAUUUUGAAAAAUCCUCAUAUCCAAUGCGUUACGGCACAACGUACUGAAUUCUCGAUAAUGAGCUAUUUAUUUAUGUUUUUGUUUUAAAGAGCACCCUCGAUUAUUUAGAUCCAACGAAGAAAAUUGGAACCAAUACGUUAGGGUUCAAUUCUCUCGAAGAUCCCAAAUACCGAGUAUUACUUUUAUUUUGAAAUUUUCCGUUUUUGAUAAAUCCGAGUAAAAAUGGAUGCAAAAUAAUGAUAAUGAUGAUAAUGUAAGUAAAAUAACACGAGCAAAACAAAAUAUAAAUAAAUAAUAAGACUAAUAUAAAUACAAUCGUGCAGGCGCAAUAACAAAUAAGAAACAGAUAAAAACUAAAGCAAGAAAAAUAAUAAUAACAUACAUGUAAAUAAAUAACUGAACAAAAUUAACAAAAUUAAAAAAAAUAUAAAAGAUAUAUUUAUACAUAUAUAUGUAUAAAAUUAUGAAAAUAUUAAAAACAUAUGCAUGUACACAUUUUUGAAGCUAUUAUACAUGAAAAUAUAUGUAAGUAUAUAUGCACAUACAUGAAUACGUAUAGAACCAUCAUCAAAUAUAUAAAAGUAUAUAUAUAUAUAUGUAGGUAUAUAUGAAUCACAAAAUUUAAAGAAUAAUAUAUAUAAGAUAUAUAUUUUGGAAGUAUAAAGAAUAUGUAAGAAUUUAUAUAUACAUACAUUUAUAUAUGAAAAUGAAAUAUAUAGAUAUGUAUGUGGGUAUGUAUAAAUAUUAUAAAAUAUAAAAACAUAUAUGUGUACGCAUAUAUAUAAAAAUAUACAUAUGUAUAUAUACAUAUAUAUUAUGAAAAUAAAGCUAAAAAAAAACUAGUUAGUGUAUUAACAUAAUUGUAACGACUAAAUAAAGGAAAAUAAUAAUAAUAAUAAUAAUAAUAAUAAUAAUAACAUUAAAAUAAUUAACUAAAUAAUAAAAAUUGCUAAAAAAAGAUUAAAUCGAAAUAAAAACGAAAAUACUGGGCAAAUUCGAAAUAAAAAAAACGAAAAGGAUUAAAUUGCUACACGCAUCGAAAGAGGGAGACCAAAACGAUAAAUAAACCAAAGCCCCAAAACGCAGCGCUGCAACGGACUAAAAUGAAACAAAAGGAAAACUAUGUGGCUAAAUUAAAAUAAAAGAAAAUAAUGAAAAAGGGCCAAAUUGCAACUCGUUGCAAAGUCGGAGUGACUACGCGCGCAAAUAUCCCCUUUUAAGAAAACACGCGGAUCCUCCCCCAGGGUCGGGUCACCGAGCGGGUCAGGGCCAAAAUGGCGUCGUUUUGGCACCUGACCCUAAUGACAAAACGGCGCCAUUUCGUUUAGGGUAUUUAAACCUAAUUUUUCCCAAAAAACCUAAUUUCAGCCACCAUUUAAAAAAAAUAAAAAACUUUCUUUUUCUUUCAAAAAUCUGACUUUUGGGGUAAAAUUUUUUACUUUCUCUUGAUAUUUUGCGCGAAUAUGAAUUGUUUUUUUUUAAAAAAAUAUGUAUAAAAAUAAAAAUGAACGGGUAUAAAAAAGAAAAGAGAUGCGAAACUAAAAUCACAUUGGAGUGAAUCUGUUUGUUUUUUUUAAAUCUGUUUUUGUAUUAUUUAAAAGUGUUCUUACAAAAAAUCUAAAAAGGAACCCCCUAAAUUACAGAAAAAUUUGGCUUUUAUAGCCGAUUCUCCCCCCUCAUUCUUUGCUCUGUUGCUUUUCUAUUGCUUGCAGGGACUUGACGCGGUGCAUGUGGGGUGUCGGUGGCAAGUGGGGUGAUGGAACAUCCGACGGUGGCCGUGGCUGCUGGUGAUGCGACUGGUGUGCGGCGGCCAAGAGCUAGGGUUUCAGAAAAGCUGAAACCCUAGUUUGACUGUUGGGGUUGGGAUUUUGGGCCAAUUGGGUUAUUGGGCCUCGAGUUUGGGUUUGUAAUUGGGUUAAUUUAUUUUUUUUGGGUUUUAUGUUUGGGUUUAUUGAAUAUUGGGCUGAGGGUUAGUGGGUUAGGCCUAGGUGGGUUGGUUUGGGUUUUGGGCCCCGGGCUAAAAUUGGGCUUGUACAAAAUGAAUUAGGUUUAAUGGCUAAGUGUUAAAGAAUUCACCUUAGAGACUUAAGUUCGAGUUCCCUUCCUUCCUUUUUAUUUUUGGUAACUUGGUUUUAGGGUAAAGUCACACUCAAAAUAUAUACGACUAGGAAUUAAGAAUAAAUAAGAAAUGGGCAAUAGGUCCAAUGGUUAAGUGUUAAUCCCCUAUCUUAGAGAUCUUAGGUGUAAGUUUCCUUUUUCCCCUCCCAUUUUUCUUUUGGAUUUCGACAAUAAGGGGAAAUUUGCUGUGCCACCCCUAGGGUUUUCAAACCCGAGCUAUUUAAUCAUUCUUUUCCCAUUUGGAUUAGUUUUGCUUCUUUUCAAAUUCUUGUAAAAUUUCUACUCAUAUUAUAUUUCUCUUAUAUUUAUUUUCUUUUCCUUUCUUUUCAUUGUAACACCCUAAACUCGGUCGAAUAGGUUCGACCUAAAUUUGGAGAGCUACAUUAGCCACCGAAGUGACUUUCCAUUAACUCCCAAUCUAACCUCUAACACACCACUUACUUGCAACGUAUAUUAUGAUAAGUUAUAUCAUAACAAGGGUAUAAUAUAAUACAUAUAAUGUAAAUCAUGCAAGCUUAAAACCAAUGUAACACCCCAAACCCGGCUGAGUAGGUUCGACCCAAAUUUGGCGAGUUACAUUAGCCACCGAAGUGACUCUCCAUCAAUUCCCAACCUAACCUCCAACACACCACUUACUUGCAAUGUAUGUUAUGAUAAGUUAUAGCAUAACAGUGAAAUAAUAUCACAUAUAGAAUGUAAAUCAUGCAACCUUAUCAAACAAAAUGAGGGAACGGUUCGCAUGUUAAUUACUACGUAAGGCUACGUAGUAAGGUUAUCGCACCUAAGGGUUCACAAGCAUAUAGGGGGUCACAAACAAACAAAGGUCGCAGAAAAUAACACUUCGCAAAAAAAAUUGGCUCGCGUAUGAUGUUAAUACAUAUUUUGGAAAAAUUGAAAGAAUGCGACAUGGUACUCAUGCUAGGAGAAUUAAAGAAACAUCAAAGUAUAUUCAUGCAGAGAAGAAAUUAGUAAUAAAGGUUUAACUUCAUGGUUCGCAAAAUAUUAAAAGAAUAAACUUAAACUUUAGGGAAAUCGUUUCAUUAACAGAAUCAUAUAAUGAUAAAUCUAAACCUAUAUAAAUAAAACCCCAUCACCUAUUUCCCUAGGUUCGCAUUAUUUGUUCAGAGAUAGCCUCGCUAUUGCCAUUGGCGACUUACUUACCUGCAAAGUAAGAGAAGAGUGGGUGAGUUCAUUGCGAACUCGGUGAAUAAUCCGGAAUCAUCAACGUAUGAUUAAAAUACAGAGUUUAAAAUAGAAAGAAGACUUAGUAUGAAAAACUAUUGUAUCGCGUGUUGGGUUCGCAGUGAAUGCUAGGUUCGCAGUGAAUGUGCGAGACCCAGUUUAUAGAACCUGCUUGUCAUAAAAUCAUAUAAGUUUGAAAAUAGUUUUGCAUGUACUUACUGAAAAUCAUACUUAAAAACUUAGCUUGUUCUUGUUUGAAAAUGGAUCUUUUAUAGAAUGAAACAUGCUCACAUACUUAUCUUAUCGGAAUGGCUGAGGAAUAUAAAAUAUGUUCUUGCACUUUUCUUAACUUACUUAUAUUAUCUUGUCUUAUUUUGUUGGAUAUGUGGAUCUCUUUAUAACGCCUCAGAAUGACUCAAAGAGUCCUUAAGAUGUCCCAUAAGUGUAACAUAAGCUAAACACUCUCUUGUACACCAACAUGUCCUAUUGAAUGGAGCAUAGCUUGGCGUUCCCUUAUCUCUCCACAUGUCCCAAAGCCUCAAUGCCCAAAUCACAAAACUUAUUGGUGAGUACUCACAAUCCUUUGGUAUACAAAUAUAUCCAAUAUAUAAGCUCACAAAGGCACUCGUAUAGAAACUUAGCACAUAGAGCUAGAAAAAACAUAGCUUAUAGAACUGUAUUUUUAAAACAUGCUUUAAAACAUAGGCUUGCAUAGGAGCAUGCGUAACACAUAUCUUUAAAACAUAGCUUAAAACAUAUCUUGAAAACAAAUUAUCAGAACUUUUAAAAACAUAGUUUUAUAGGAAAAAAAACUUACUCUUGGAACUUAGUUUUUAAAAAAAAAAGAUUCUUAGAAAACAUAACAGUUCACACACAAGUUACGAAACCUGAGCAUUCAUACUAAAAAACAUGAUAGUUACCACACUUAUGGCAAUUCUUAACCACUCAUCGAUAAAACUGAAAAUUUAAAUGAGUUUUGCCUUGCCUUUAUCCUUGCUGUAGAUAGUCUGGUUGGUUCGUAACAUGCAUAAACACACAAAUUACUUCAAUAGACAAAACUUACGAACUUCACACAUGCAAGCGAACCUAGCUUUCUGGACAAUAAACCCUAAUAGGAAAAAUGCUUACCUUGGUUGCUACGAAUUUGGUUCAGAACAAAGACUUGACAACAAAAUAACGAUGAAAGAAUUUUUCCUAGAAUAAGGAUUGUAUUUAUAGGCACUAAGUAUCUUAGUGACCUUAGGAUACCCUAUUUGACUUAGGAACCCUCUACGGUUUAAAAGAAGGUUACGUGCACGAAAAGUAUCCUAGAUACACAAUAUAUUUAUUUCCUAAGUUUAGUCUAACUUGACUUUUGAUUGGCGAACCCCUAGUUUGUAACUCAAUUGUUGAACCCCAGCUCACUAAACAGAUUGGAGAACACAACUUUCAAUGAAUCUAGCGAACCUCUUACCACAUCAUUUGGCGUGCAGCAGUUUGCUAGAACACUGGCAAACUCCUUACUGGUAUCCCCUUUGGUGAACCCUAGUUUGCUGAAACACUAGUGAACCCUCACUUGUAAGGUCAAAACUUCUAGAUCAGGUUUCAGGAUGUUACAAACACCAUAUUUUUAUCAUAAUUGUUGUUGAUUAUUUUUCUUUCCUGAAUCAAAUCAUCUUUCAUUAAAUUAUUUUUCUAUUAGUUUUGUAAUUGUCGUCAAUAGCACCUCUAUAUUUGCCAAGAAACAAACCGAAUUUAGGUGAAUCAGACCGAAAUAAAGUGUGAAGAACAUCAACCGGAACUGUGGUGAAAGGUGUGUGUCUUUUCCAAGUGAAUCAGUGGUGAUCUGUGUACGAUUAAGGCCACAUGGGCUAUGCGUGUGGUCCACCAACUACCACACAACCAUGUGCACUUGUAGAUUUUAGGGACUUCAUGAACCAUACGGCCUCAGCCAGUUACACGAUCGUGUCUUUCCUGCAAGGUUUAUCAUUUUCCACAUGGAAUCAUGCUGUUACAUGACCGUCUAACCCUUACACAGGGUCUUACCCUUCUCACAUGGCCUGGCCAUACAGCCGUGUGACCCUGUUUUACAGUUUUGACCAAAAAUUUAUCAUAUGUUCAAUUUAGUCCUCGUUUAUCCCUUGAAUUAUUUUAGAGUUUUCAUUCACUCAAUUAAGUCCUUGAUAUUGUGUUUAUUCUAGAAUCUGUGAUUUAAUGACUAAAUUCCUAUUUUUAUAUUGUAUGAGAUGUGAAUAUUACAUGCCUACUGUCAUUGUAAUACUGAUAAACUAUUAAUGAUAAUAUUGUUACCACCCUAUUGAGUACAUGUUAAGCAUGUCUACUGCUAAUGUUGAACUGAAUACAUGAUAAGCAUGUCUAUUAUUAUUAUUUUUUGUAUUGUUCUAUUACAAAGCAUGCCAUAUUGCAUUGCAUGGGGUGGGACGAUAUGUAUGGAGAAAGGGUGACAGUUUAAUAAUCUGCAACCCAGUGGUGGCUCGUCCACAAACCCAAUGGCAGUUUAUCUGCAAAUGUUUUAACUAAAAAUACUGGUUGUUUAUCCGCAAUUUUUACAACGAAGUGGUAGUUUAUAUACAAAUCAGUGGUGAUUUAUCCACAACUCGGUGUGUAUGGAUGGAUGAGUUCUGGGGAACUCAUAGUGUGGUGUGUAGUGAAGUUGGGUAGGACCUUUUCUGAUAAACUGAAAUUGCAUUGCCAUUCAUAAACAUGUGCAUACAAACCAUGAAUUCUAAAUAUUAUAGUGAAGUGUUGAAUUGGAAAACCGAUAUUGUGAAUUGCUAUACGAUUGUGGUUAUUCUAAGAAUUGUUAUUUCGUAUGCUUUGACCACUAUGUUACACCGAUUUUCUUGUGAUAUGACUCACAUUGAGCUUAAGUUCACCCCCUUUUAAUUUCCAUCUUUAUAGAUAACCCACCAGGUUAGGACAUAGACACAACAUCUGGAAGGUCUUGGCUCAGAUAAAUUUUUUUAUUAAAAGUAUUUUAGACUUAUUAUUAUUUCUAUUAUUUGGAAUUGUAUUGUUUUAUUCAAACUUUGGCACGAGACUUAAGUUUUGAGUUUAUUUGACAUGCAUGAAAUUUAAUUUGAAUAUUAGGAUAUUGAAACAUGGAUUUUAAACUAAUUAUGCAUGAAAUUUUGGUUUCGCCAUCAUUAAAAAUAUUUUGAAUAUCAUUUUUCCGCUACGAUAUUAUGAAAAUAAGAAUUUGAAAAAAGUAAAUGAAUUGGAAAUCAACUUUUACUAAGUAAACUUUAAAAUCCAUUGUUUUUUGGAAACUUUUAUUUUUUAGUGAAAACAUGAUUACACGCAAAGUUUUUCUUCAAUAAUAAGCAAAUGUUUUAAACAACUGUUUUAUAAAAACUCCGAUAGUUGUAGUAGGCCAUUUCGGUAGCCAAUGCAAUCUUUUGAAUUCAGUCUUAACGUUUAGGCCGAGUUGAGGAAGUUACUAUUAGCAACUUAACAUUAAUUUGAACAUUAAAUGUUGGUCCAAACUUGACACGAAAUAUAUUUAGAAUACAUAAAUCAAAAAAUUAGUAAGUUGGCUACUUGGGUUAAUUUAUUGGUUUGACACAACAUAUCCUAUAGUAAUUCAAUGGGAUUAGAACAUCCCAACUCCUAGUUGAUUUAAUUGCUAGGUUAUCUAAGUCCACGCUUGCAAUUAUUGCUUAAAGCAUUUGUUUAAUAAAAUCUUAAAUUCCAAUGGAGGUGCUUUUUCAUAAUAUGAGGUAACCUAAGAAAAAGGAAAAAGUUGAACAUAUUGUUAAGUUAAAAUUGAACAAAUUAAGGCAAAGUGUACAAAUGGAGUGUCAUCAUUCAAAUCGGUCCUUCUCUUAAUUGUCAUAAGCCAAUUAGGUAAGCCAGAUUCUUUUAAUAAAAAGUAAAGAUUUCAUGGCAUCCCUAAAGCAUUGCAAAUUUUUUGUAAGCAUUAAAAUGGCAUUAGUUGGUACAAUACUGGUAUUGAUCUGUAUAUAUUGCUUCGGUUUUGAUCAGUACCAAAUAGUUUAUAUUUCGUUCAAUCAAAAUUUUGUUAUGUUUGAUUAUUUCGGUGUGUUUCGACCUAUUUUGGUCAAUAUCGGCUUGUACUAGCUAGUAUAAAAUUUGAUAUUUUAAACUAAAUUUUAAAAUUUUUUAAUCUUAAUUAUUUUAAUUUUGGCUAAAGGGUCUUCAAAGCCCUUGAACAUUAAAAUUUCAAUCAAUUAAGCCCAUCACACAUUAAAGUUAACGAUCAACCAUGAAAGAGCAACAAUAGCCAUUAUGAGCAAUUGUUUUCACCACGUGGCAUGUUAGACUGUACCACGUGACGAAAUAUGGUGUUUUAAAUUUAAAACCAUUAAAACUAUAGAAAAUCAUAAAAUAUUAAAAAAUUACAAAAGUUAUAAAAUUAUAUAAAAAUGAACAAAAUUAUAAAAAGUAGUAUAAAUGAUACAAAAAUUAUAUAAAUUAUUAAAAAAUUGCAAAAAGAAAACAUUAAAAAUAAGCUUAAAAUAAGAAUAUAUAAAAAAAUGUAAAAAAAAAAAAUUAGAAACUAAGUUUCGGAUACACAGCUCUGGCUGUAUUUUUCAUAAAUAAAAGCUUGGUUGAGAUUUUAGAUUUGGUAUAAAUACAAUAAAUAUAAUAUUUAUAGUAGUAAACAAGUGAAUGAAAUUAAGUAAUUGUGAUUGAGAUUCACCAUGAUUAUAUUUAUAGGAAUAAAAUAUUCCUAUAUAUAAUGAAAGUGUAAUUGAAUAAUAAAAUUCAUAUUAAUACAAGUUGCUUUAAAACAAAAGUAAAUAAUUUGAUAUUGAUCUUGUGAAACAAUUGAAUUUUGGUUUUGUUAUGGGAUUAAAUUAGCAAUUAAUCCUUUUUAAGAAUUUAGAGAACGAAUUAGAUAAGUUAGACAUAAAAGUAGAAGAGUAAAAAGAAAGGAAGUAGUGGGUAGAUUAACAUAAUUAGGAGUUUAAAUGAUAUGAUAAUAAUUAAAGCUUUAAUUUAGUUAAGGUAAUUAGAAAUGUUUGAUCAUAUUUUAGAUGUUAAUUGAAAUUAAACGAGUUAAUAGGUCGAAUACAAGUUUAUAUUUUAGUUAAGAUAAUUAAGAGUUUAACUAGAAUUAAAAAAAAAUAAGAAGCACAUUGAAUCGUCGAUGAAUUGAUUUGAUUCUAAAUCCAAACUCAAGAGAGUAGGAACAUAAUCCAUUGGAAACAACACUUUUAAGUUGUUUAAAUUUUUGAGAAAGAAAAACACUUUCAACCUUUUUUUUAAUCCCCACUCUAUCCACCAACCUACUCGUUGCUUUAUAAGUCAAAAUCGGGAAAUUAAAUAUUACACUAUUACUAAUUCGGUUAAAUUGGUUAAUUCGGUCAAAUGAAUAUUAUCGAUUUUUUGAUAUGUUUUUUUACUUGUUUUAACCAAAAAAAUAAAACAUAUAAAUUUCGGUUAAUUUGAUUAACCGGCCGAAUUAAUCGAAAUAUUUCGAUUUGGUUAAUGGUUAAAGAUACUAAUUCGAUUCGGUUAACUGAUCGGUUAAUUGUUUGAGCACCCCUAAAAAUAAGUCAUGGGACCAACAUACUGACUUCCAUACAAUUGUUAGGUAUAUAUAGCAACUCAUAAGUAUGAGUAGAAUUAGUACGCAGUACCUUAGAUUCAUUGAGCCACAUUUCAAAGUUUCCCAUGAUCUCUUUUGCUGUCAAUGAUAUAAUAAACUUUUUGUAUUCACAAUUAUGUUCACAAUAUAAAACAUAAUUGGUCGACUUGAAUACAAUUAAAUGAGACACUCUAAUGUUCUUUCCUUUUCCUCAAAUCUCUCUAUUUCAAUUCAACUACUCUCUAGAUAUGUCCCGUUAGAUUGAAUCAUACAUGAUCAUCGAUAGCCUACUAAAAUAGCUAAUAUUGAUGUAAAACUUCAAGAAACAGUUAAAGGUCAUGAGGGUACUUAGUAUAGAUCUUCAGUUGAUCUCAUGGGUUUCACACAACAUAGAAGCAGAGAUCAAAUCUUCUAUUACCCAUUUUGUUCGUAUAAUACACAUGUAGUAUGAAACACAUGCUAUGGUAUUACUCUCACUUUCCUUGAAGUGUAUGUCUUUAUCAAAAAAUCAAUACCACAUAGGUGAUAAUUCAAAUACACUUAGUAUCUAACUCGAGUCCACAACUUUAUUUUCUUAAUAGAUUCAACAACAAGACUUUCACCUGGAAUAAAAGACAUAUAAAGUGAAAAAUUCAUAUUUAAAUUAUCAAACAUAAAUCAAAUUGAUUAUAAUUAUAUCAUUUUGCAUAUAGCUCAUGUCGUGCAAGUGCACACUUUAGCCCCAACAAGUUUGGACCUAUGCCCUUCAUGCAUGCAAGGCAAGAUUCCAAACAUAAUCAUUCAAUCAUCAUUUAUGUGGGUUCUCAUAUAUAUACACAUCUCACACUUGGUAUUUAACCAAUGUGGGAUCUAAGCUUUUCUUUUCCUCAACAAAUAUUCACAAGUAGCUUACUUUGAGCACCAAUUUCUCAUUCAUCACUCAACCAUUUUGAGCAUAUGAUAUACUGUUGUAAAGGUCUCAUGGAGUAGAAUAUAAAAUCAUAAUUUUAUGAUUCAACUCUCAACAUUUACCAAUUAAAAAUAUGCCUCAAAGUUCCCAUAAAUUACAAAUUUUCCAACAACUUUUGAAUGCAUUAAUCAUUAUCAACAUUAACUCAAGUGAGGACAAGAAUAUAUUAUUCAACUUGCAAUCCUAGAGUUUUGACAUUCCUUUAAAAAAUCUCUAGGAAUCGGUUUUGUAAACUGAUUUGCAAUCCUCUUAUGCAUAGACUUUCUCUCUUGUUGUGAGAUUUACCUUCACACUUAUUUUUUCCAAUAUACUAACUUUAGAUAUUUGGAGUUUGGAGUUGGUCAAACAGAUGUAAAAGCUACCUUUUCCAAAUGAAAAUCUGGAAUUUACACAGACAAAGUAGAUUUCAUUGACAAAGGUGAAAUGCAUAGUCUGGGCAAGUUAUGAAGAUCAAUUUUAUGAUCUUAAGCGAUUUUCCAGAUAGUGAUAUGCUAUUUUUUUUAAUUAAGAAACUGUUUAGUUUGAUUUAAUCAUAAUUGAUAAAGACCACUUUACUCAUGUUAAAAGAAGGAAAGAAAAUUUUGUAACUAUGUCAUUUUAUGUGGGUGACAUGUUGUUGGCCGCAAAUGAAUUAGUGCUUAUCAUUAUGGGUUAUGCAAGACUACAUGUCAAUUCAUACGAAUGUGUCCUUUUUUCAAUGUUGUGAGUAGCAUCAUAUAUGUUAUGAUGUACAUAAAGCAAAGUAUCUCUUGUAUAGUUGGAUUCAAGACACUCCAAUCCAAACUCAUUGCAAAACAAUGAAAAUGAUAUUGAGGUAUUGAAAAGACACUAUGGAUUUUCACCAUGCUAUCUAAUUGUGAAUACAAAUACCUAUUAAUUAAAAGGAGAUUUAGAUGAAAUAUUGAAAUCUAUCUCCACACAUGUGUUCGUAUUUGAUAAUGGAGUGAACUCUUAAAGUAGUAAGAAAUAAACUUGUAUAGCAUGGUCUAUUAUUGAUGCUGAAAUUGGCAUUUUUAGCGAUGGUUCAAGAGAGUGUUUGGGUUAAAAUAAUCACGAUUAAUAUAGUUACGUUAAAGCAAAAUAUCUUCUAUAGUUGGAUUCAACAUAGUCCAAUCCAAACUUAUUGCAAAACAAUGAAAAUGAUUUUGAGGUCUUUUAUUGUUCUCUCUUGUAUAGUUUGCAUCUCAAGGCACUUUCUUGUUGAUUACGAUGAACAAAAAACGGUUGCAAGCUCUGGGACGAGCAAGAUCAAUAUCUUUAGAGAUCAAAUGAUGGUUAGUAUACAAAUUUAAAAACUAGUUUUUAUAAUUUCAUUUUCAUAUAGUUUUUAUUUAUUUUUUAUUAUAAAUUUUAUGCUUUUUAUAAUAUUUUAUAUGUUUUAGUAUUUUUACAAUAUUUUAAUAACUUUCUAUCUUUUUAAAUAUUUAUUACCAUUUUUAUUUUUAAUUCAAAUAAUUUAUUUUUUUCCAAUUUUCUAUAUUUUAUAAUAUUUUUAAUAAUAUUUUAUAUAUUUAAAUAUUUUUUCAUAAUUUUAAUUUUUUUAAAUUUUUCAUAAUUUAUAUGUUUUUUUAAUUUUUAUUUUAGUACUUUUUAAUGCUUUUCACAAUUUUUAAUAAUUUUUAUAAUUUAUAUUUUUUUUUCGUUUAUAAUCAUUUUUAUAAUUUAUAUAUAUAUCUGCAAUUUUAUAUAUUUUAUAAUUUUUGCAAUUUUUAUAUUUUAUAAAAUAAUUUUGUAAUACUCCAAACUCGGCCUUAACGUUAUGACCAAAUCUAGAGAUGCUAUGAAGAUACAUUAAAAAAAAUCUAGAAUCUGUUGAUUUUAUAAAAUGAUACUUGCCCUUAUUUAGUAAAAUCUGAGUUUAUUUGAGAAAUUUAUCGUUUUGAUGGGUUUGUCAAUUAUUUACUCAUAAAACUAGUCGAAUCCAAUUUGAAAACACGAUUUUUUUUGUUGUUGUAAAAUCCAUUAUUCAACAAUUCAAUUUUCAACCCACCAACGAGGAAAUCACACAGGACUUCCUGCUAACCUACCAUCUUUUUUCAAGAGUUCAAACCCAAUCCAACACCACCAACUCGACAGCACAUUAAGGGCUAACAAAAAUAAAUUAGAGACUCAAACGAUAAAUUAACAUCUUAUCGUUGAACUAGUAAACUCAUUCUAUCACAAAUUGAUCAAAAAUAGUAUUUAAGUGGUAAGGAACAAGAUAAGGAUAAAAGACAAAAAUAAUAAAAUUUCUUAAAAAUGAGAUUUGAACCCUAAUCAGUAAAACAAAUACUUAUUCAUGACAUAAAUUAACAAAUUAAAAAUUCAUAUUUUUGGGUCUUAAAAGUUUUUAAUAAAUUAUAAUUACUUGAUUCCAGUUUCUUUAUUAUGCCCAAAUUUAAGAUUAAGCCCUAUAUUUUAAUUUUGACAUAAUUUGAUUUAUUUAUUUUUAUAAUGUCAUUAGUUAUCUUAAAUCGCUAACAUUAUUAGCUAUGCCAAGUAAAAUAACAUCGCGUAUUUUUUUUCUUAAAAUCAUCACUUCUAACUAAAUAAUGGCUUAAUCACUUUUUUAACUAAUUAUACUAACAUAGAUUUUUUUUAGUUGGAACGAGUAUGUUUAAGGAAAAAUCACCUCAACACUUUACUUGAAAUUAGUAAUCACAUUAAUUAUUUGGACUAACUAAAUCAUUACUGAAUCACCUUCUAACUAAUUAUAGUAAUGUAUAUAUUUAAGAAAAAGCUCACUUUAAUGUUUUAACUGAAAUUAUUAACCGUGUUAAUUACUUAAACUAACUAAUGAAAAAUAUUUCAAAUUAAUUUAUACUGAAUAACUCUCAAAUCCAAGUAUAAUAAAAUAAUAUGACUAACUCAAACUUGGCGUUGAAUUGAGUUUGGGAGUAAAAUAAUCACAUCACUCAUUGGCAAAGCAUGACUGUGAUUAUGAUAUGGUUUUUCGAAGUAUAACUAUGGUGGAGUUGAUAGCAUUGAUUAGAAUACCUUUAUAAAUGAAUAUAUAACAUUUAAUCAUGUAUAUAUUUUUAAUAAUUUAAUAACUUAAAAAAACACCACACUUUAUUAUAUAUGUAAAAUGUAAAUAGAAGCUACAUUCUUAUUUCAUGAAAUAACAUCAUAGAGAAUGUGAUGGCAGAGUUCAUUCUCAGUAAUAUAUGUGAUACUAAUUAGGAAUCAAACUGUCUUCAAUGGCUGGAUGGAGGUGGAGGUGGAGGUGGAGACAUGAAAGGAAUGGAAGGCAAGCUGCUACUGGGAAGUGGUGGAAGAACAGUGAUAGGCUUAGGCUAAGAUGGUGGGAUUGUUGGUAGCUUCGGGAUUCAAGGCAAUGGAGGUAUGCAGGGUUGAGCUGAGAAUGAUGGUAGAUCUAGGAUUGAAGGCAAUGGAAGUAUGUUGGGCAACUUACGAAGUGGUGGUAGUUCUAAGUUCUGGGAUUGAAGGAAAUGGUGGUGGUUCUGGGAUUAAAGGAAGUGGUGACAUCGGAGGUGGCAAUGGUACCGGUAAAUAUGCAGAUGGCAAUGGUACUGGUAAAAAUGGAGGUGGCAAUGGUAUUGGCGACAAUGGAGGUAGCAAUGGUACUGGUGACAAUGGUAUUGGCGACAAUGGAGGUGGCAAUGGUAUUGGUGGAAAUGGAGGUGGCACUUGCUGAAGAUUUCGGGUUGCUAGGCUAACCUCCAUGCUUGAAAAACCCAAGGAAAUGAAGCAGGCUAAUAAAAUGAAAACGUUGGAAGCUGCCAUUUUUUUUUGGAGAGAUGAACUAAAGAUUGAAGAUUUGAGUUGAGGAAAGCAGGAUUGGUUUCGGGUAUUUAUAGCCACAUUUGAAGGAGUUUUUUAAUUAUUUGUUUGAGAUAUUACUCCCCUACUUAGCUUACUACCUUC